UUGAUUUUCUUUAUUUCUUUGAGUAUAAGAAAUUUUAGCAAUAAGUAUGUGAUCGAGAAGUCGAUUUAGAUUAAAGUGGACAACCAGUGUCAACUACCUUCGCUCACGACUACAUUGUUUUUAUUCUAAUACUACACGUUGCGAUCAUGGGGUAUACUCUCUAUAUCUGUGGAGUCCUGAUCAACAGGUUCAAAUAAGCGGCUGAUCAGGUUCCGAGAAUACAGUGGGGCUGGUUAUUAUAUUUACAACUAUGCAAGGGCAUUAAUCUUUGCCAAUAAUCGGAAUAACUCAAUAAAGUUUUCGUUAGUAUGCCGACGCGGAACCUUGUCGAUCAAAUAAUCGGAAAUAGGUGGGAAUUAGGUGACAGAUAGUCAACGUUGUUGUCUUCGUCGCCGUAACCGUGUUGCCGCAGUCGUAGCAAAGAUCAUUGUCUGUGGUCGUUUUUACCGCAGUAAUGAUGGUGGUCGCGUUCGCAGUAUUCGUUGUUGUCGCCGUCGUCAAUGUGAUAGUAAUCUGCACUACCCUUCGAUUUUAAUUUCAAUGAGAUUCCAGGGCAAAACUCCAGGUGCCGGUUAGUGAGCGCUGAGAUUGGAUCCAUAACCAUUUUGGUUUAUUAUUAUGUCGUGAGGGUGACACGGUUAAUGGCUAACGACAGAUAAACAAUUUUGUCUCGUUUAUAAUAAAAAUUCAAAGAGUAUCUACGCUACAUGCAGAUACAUCGAACUUGGAUUUUUUUUUUGUUUCAACCCAAACUUCAUACACCACUAUUUUCUAAUGGCUAUAUUACCUCAUCAAGGAUACUUUGCACAGGAGCAAUCCUGAAAAUGAUUAUUGAUCAAUAAUUGCCGUACAUGGUGCAAAGAUUUUAUUACUUUUGAAUUGUACCUUUUAAAUUACGAUCGUUAAUUUGAUUUUAUGUAUGCAAUUCACCCAACAUUCAAAUCUUUUAAGUGAAUCAUUGUCAUCAAAGUGAAUCAAUAUACUUAUAUAUUUGUUCCAAUUUCUAUUAAUAAUAAGUUAAAUAAUAUAAU